CUCUUCUUGGUUUUUGCAGUUCCAUUUUGUGUGCCAAAGUAGGCCAGAUUUAAUUUGAUUUUUCAAAAAAAGCUGCACCUUUAUUUUCUGAGCAGGUGUCUCUCUUCUUGGUUUUUGCAGUCCCAUUUUGUGUGCCAAAGUAGGCCAGAUUUAAUUUGAUUUUUCAAAAAAAGCUGCACCUUUAUUUUCUGAGCAGGUGUCUCUCUUCUUGGUUUUUGCAGUCCCAUUUUGUUUGCCAAAGUAGGCCAGAUUUAAUUUGAUUUUUCAAAAAAAGCUGCACCUUUAUUUUCUGAGCAGGUGUCUCUCUUCUUGGUUUUUGCAGUCCCAUUUUGUGUGCCAAAGUAGGCCAGAUUUAAUUUGAUUUUUCAAAAAAAGCUGCACCUUUAUUUUCUGA